AUUGAACGCUGGCGGAAUGCUUUACACAUGCAAGUCGAGCGGCAGCACGGGGGCAACCCUGGUGGCGAGCGGCGAACGGGUGAGUAAUACAUCGGAACAUGCCCAGUCGUGGGGGAUAACACUUCGAAAGAAGUGCUAAUACCGCAUACGUCCUGAGGGAGAAAGCGGGGGAUCUUCGGACCUCGCGCGAUUGGAGUGGCCGAUGUCAGAUUAGCUAGUUGGUGGGGUAAAGGCCUACCAAGGCAACGAUCUGUAGCUGGUCUGAGAGGAUGAUGAGCCACACUGGGACUGAGACACGGCCCAGACUCCUACGGGAGGCAGCAGCGGGGAAUUUUGGACAAUGGGGGCAACCCUGAUCCAGCCAGUCCGCGUGAGUGAAGAAGGCCUUCGGGUUGUAAAGCUCUUUCGGCAGGAACGAAACGGCGAGCUCUAACAUAGCUUGCUAAUGACGGUACCUGAAGAAGAAGCACCGGCUAACUACGUGCCAGCAGCCGCCGUAAAAC
rnacentral:rRNA from 1 species